GUUUUUAUAGCUUAACGGUUAAAGCAUCUCACUGUUAAUGAGAGUAUAUAGGUUCGAUUCCCAUUAAAGACU
rnacentral:tRNA from 4 species